rnacentral:lncRNA from 1 species
UAGGAUUCCCAGGUUCCCUCAGUUCCUUCAAUUCUCCAAUAUGUAGGAAGCCUUCCAGGUUCUGGGCAGGGAACUCAGACUCUGCUUCAGGAUCUGGGCAGGUGAGGGUUGCCGUCUUAGGCAGCAUAGCCUCCGCUCUCUAGUCUUAAGCUGAAAUGGCCAGAGCUUAAGAUGAGUGGGAGAAUUGCCACUGGCCUUCCAAGUCCCCAGGAGCACCACAGGCAGAUAAAGAAGCUGAGACUCAGAGUGGUUAUAGCACGCUUCCCAGGGUCACAGAGUCACAAACUCUGAAAGUUUGGCUCCUGUCUUCAAUUGGAAGAAGAAAUUAGAAGAGGAAUUAUAUACAUUACUUGGCUACAGAAGAAAAAAAAAAUAAACCAGAGAGAAUGUUCUAGAAGAGCACAACUGAAUUCCAUCUCAAAAACAAUAUUGCUUUACAAUAUCUCAAAGGAAUUUUGCUGAGUUUUCUAUUAGUAGAAGCUUUCAGUCAGGCGUAUUUUUGAGGGAUUUGCUGCAUUGGAGCAGCGUAAGCUAAUAUGAUCUACGUGUUUCUUUGUGUUUCCUUGAGCUCAUCAGUGUCAGCAUGGCCCCAUAUUGGUGGAGUGGAAUGUGAGCAUUUAUCCCCCUGGAACCUUGAGCUCUUUCCAAAAAGAAAAGCAUAAGCAUAUGAUCAAUAGGAGACCCCAGGAAUCACCGAAAAGACCAUGAGAGUCAACCACGGCUCUGUCAAUGGCGCUUGAAGAUGACUCUUCGGACCUCAGAUUCUUCAUGUGUCGAAUGAAUCAGUGGGACCAUCUGACUACAUAAGCUCGUGUUCUGUGAUUCUGUGAUUCAGUUUUCUGGAGGACCCAGCCAAGCUGGAGAUUCCCUUGGUUUAUCUAGUGGAUUAAACG